rnacentral:rRNA from 1 species
GGCCUAACACAUGCAAGUCGAGCGGAAACGAUCCUAGCUUGCUAGGAGGCGUCGAGCGGCGGACGGGUGAGUAAUGCUUGGGAAUCUGCCCGGUAGUGGGGGAUAACGUGUGGAAACGCACGCUAAUACCGCAUACGUCCUACGGGAGAAAGCAGGGGAUCUUCGGGCCUUGCGCUAUCGGAUGAGCCCAAGUCGGAUUAGCUAGUUGGUGGGGUAAAGGCUCACCAAGGCGACGAUCCGUAGCUGGUCUGAGAGGAUGAUCAGCCACAUCGGGACUGAGACACGGCCCGAACUCCUACGGGAGGCAGCAGUGGGGAAUAUUGGACAAUGGGCGGAAGCCUGAUCCAGCCAUGCCGCGUGUGUGAAGAAGGCUCUAGGGUUGUAAAGCACUUUCAGUGGGGAGGAUAAGUUAUCGGCUAAUAUCCGGUAAUGCAGACGUUACCCACAGAAGAAGCACCGGCAAACUCCGUGCCAGCAGCCGCGGUAAUACGGAGGGUGCGAGCGUUAAUCGGAAUUACUGGGCGUAAAGCG